rnacentral:antisense_RNA from 1 species
UUUUAUGGCGAAGCUGGAGAGGGACGCUUUCGAGCGUACAGGAAACCUUGUAGUCCUGUCUUCCAACCCUUUUCAGCUUUGCCACCCUC